rnacentral:misc_RNA from 1 species
UACGGGGAGGCAGCAGUGGGAAUUUGGACAAUGCGACCUGAUUACGACAUCCCGCAUAUUGCGAUGAGCCUUCAGGUUGUAAAGCACUUUGUAGGAAGAAAAACGGCACAGGAUAAUACCGCACAACUGACGGUACCUGCAGAAUAAGCACCGGCUAACUACGUGCCAGCAGCCGCGGUAAUACGUAGGGUGCAAGCGUUAAUCGGAAUUACUGGGCGUAAAAAGCGUGCGCAGGCGGUUCGGAAAGAAGAUGUGAAAUCCCAGAGCUUAACUUUGGAACCCAUUUUUAACUACCGAGCUAGAGUGUAAGAGAGUGGAAUUCCUUGUGCCAACAGUGAAAUGCGUAAGGUAUGCGGAGAAGGAACACCGAUGGCGAAGGCAGCCUCCUGGGAUAACACUGACGCUCAUGCACGAAAGCGUGGGAGUAAACAGGAUUAGAUACCCUGGUAGU